UACGAAGGGGGCUAGCGUUGUUCGGAAUUACUGGGCGUAAAGCGCGCGCAGGCGGCUAUCCAAGUCAGUGGUGAAAGCCCGGAGCUCAACUCCGGAACUGCCAUUGAAACUGUUUAGCUUGAGGAUGAGAGAGGUGAGUGGAAUUCCCAGUGUAGAGGUGAAAUUCGUAGAUAUUGGGAAGAACACCGGUGGCGAAGGCGGCUCACUGGCCCGGAACUGACGCUGAGGUGCGAAAGCGUGGGGAGCAAACAGG
rnacentral:rRNA from 1 species